GAAUUUUGCGCAAUGGGGGAAACCCUGACGCAGCAACGCCGCGUGAGUGAUGAAGGCUUUCGGGUCGUAAAGCUCUGUCAAGUGGGAAGAACCCACAUGGUGAUAAUACCGCCAUGUGUUGACGGUACCACUGAAGGAAGCACCGGCUAACUCCGUGCCAGCCGCCGCGGUAAUACGGGGGGUGCAAGCCUUAUUCGGAAUCACUGGGCGUAAAGAGCGCGUAGGCGGUCUCUCAAGUCAGGUGUGAAAGCCCGGGGCUUAACCUCGGAAGUGCAUUUGAAACGAAGGGACUUGAGUAUGGGAGAGGGAAGUGGAAUUCCUGGUGUAGCGGUGAAAUGCGUAGAUAUCAGGAGGAACACCGGUGGCGAAGGCGACUUCCUGGACCAAUACUGACGCUGAGGCGCGAAGGCGUGGGGAGCAAACAGGAUUAGAUACCCUGGUAGUCCACGCAGUAAACGUUGAACACUAGGUGUAGCGGGUAUUGACCCCUGCUGUGCCGCAGCUAACGCAUUAAGUGUUCCGCCUGGGGAGUACGGCCGCAAGGCUAAAACUCAAAGGAAUUGACG
rnacentral:rRNA from 1 species